rnacentral:rRNA from 1 species
CAGCAGUGGGGAAUUUUGGACAAUGGGGGAAACCCUGAUCCAGCCAUUCCGCGUGUGCGAUGAAGGCCUUCGGGUUGUAAAGCACUUUUGGCAGGAAAGAAAUCGCACCAAUUAAUACUUGGUGUGGAUGACGGUACCUGCAGAAUAAGCACCGGCUAACUACGUGCCAGCAGCCGCGGUAAUACGUAGGGUGCAAGCGUUAAUCGGAAUUACUGGGCGUAAAGCGUGCGCAGGCGGUUCGGAAAGAGAGGUGUGAAAUCCCAGGGCUCAACCUUGGAACUGCACUUUUAACUACCGAGCUAGAGUAUGUCAGAGGGGGGUGGAAUUCCGCGUGUAGCAGUGAAAUGCGUAGAUAUGCGGAGGAACACCGAUGGCGAAGGCAGCCCCCUGGGAUAAUACUGACGCUCAUGCACGAAAGCGUGGGGAGCAAACAGGAUUAGAUACCCUGGUAGUCCACGCCCUAAACGAUGUCAACUAGCUGUUGGGGCCUUCGGGCCUUAGUAGCGCAGCUAACGCGUGAAGUUGACCGCCUGGGGAGUACGGUCGCAAGAUUAAAACUC